CAGACUCAGCCUGUGCCCCUAGCUUCCUGACAGACACAGUCUGCUCCUCCGGGGCUGGGAGGGGCUCAGUGACAGGUGUCCUUCUUUCUGGGAAAUGAUUAGCACCCCAGGGAAGCACUGUGCUGGCUCUGAGCAUCUCAUUAACAGCAUGACUGUGCGCUUCCGGUGCUGAGCUGGGCCCUGCGGUGGCUGCGGAUGGGCAGGGCAUUGAGGGCCACAGCUCCUGGCCACCGCGCCUCCCGGAUGUGCAAAUGCCUGCAUCCAGGUGGCUCCCAGAAACCCGGCCUCCUAACCAAAAGAAAAUUUCCUGGGCAGAGACCGGAUCCUUCCUACUAGAAAAAUGGUUUCCCCUUGCUCUGUGCCUCUGAUACAGACACACACACACUCUGCCGGCAGCUCCUCCGUCCUGGCUCGGAGGCGCCCGCCUCUCUUCACUCCCAUCCUGAGGCCUGUCACUGGCAAACCGGCGGGGCGCGUGGCUGUCUGGGGCGAUCACGUCAGCUCUCCUCUCCGAUCCUGUGAUUACCACCAGCAGUGCUGACAUGAAGUACUCAGCUAUGCUCUUCUAGCCUAAAUGCUGUGCUCAAACUGGAAGAAUCAGCCUCCCGGGCGAGGUAUCACCCUGUCCUACUUUGAAAAGGACACAGUGCAGGGAUGAAGAACAGAGGCUUUUGCUGCUGAGAGAUCAUAUUUUAAACAAGACGGUCUCCGUUGACUUACCCGCGGGCCGGGACAAGUGGCGCCCAACGUGGGGCCAGAGAACGGGGGAUCCAGUGAAGGACGCUGCUCAGGGGCCCUAAGAUUAAGAUUGAGGAACAAAGAGCAUACUCGACAUAGAAGAGGCUUGCGAUUGACGUGGACCUGCCGUCUAUUUGCACCUCGGUAAGUUGAGCAGCGAUUAUGGGACAGGGCAUUAGUCAGCACGAACUGUUUGUGCAAGGUCUCAAGAAGACAUUACAGGCACGAGGGGUAAAGGUUACAGUCAAACAAUUGCUGAAAUUUUUUGAUUUUAUUAAACAUCUCUGUCCCUGGUUCCCUGCUGAGGGAACCAUUGACGAAGAGAGAUGGAAAAAGGUGGGGGAGGCUCUCCAGGAUUAUUAUGCCACUUGCGGACCCGGGAAGGUCCCGAUUGCGGCGUUCUCAUAUUGGAAUUUGAUUAAUGAUAUUAUUUCCCAAAAAGCAAGGGAUCCACUGGUAGCUCAG
rnacentral:lncRNA from 1 species